GGAAGGAUCAUUAACACUAAUCCAAACCUAACUCAACGCAGCCUUCAGUUGCAUCAGCAGCGCUUGCUUCGGCAUGUGUAGCUUUUGCAGCCAAACAAAUCUAAUCAACCAAAGGAGUUUAACUAAGCUCUAUUAAAAAACCAAAUUCUCAACGAUGGAUAUCUUGGUUCCCAUAACGAUGAAGAACGCAGCGAAGUGCGAUAAGCAAUGCGAAUUGCAGAACCGUGAGUCAUCAGAUUUUUGAACGCAACUGGCGCUGGGUGGCUCUCCACUCAGCAUGCUUGUUUCAGUGUCUCUUUAUCUCAUCACCCAAAUCAUAAUGCGAGAGAUACCCUUCUCUUGCUAAACAUGAAAGCACUCUGCGCUCUGCGAGCGAUCUCGAUUCGUCGAGGGUCGCACUCAAUGCAGCAGUCACAUUGCUCACAAUGUGAACUCAUUGAGAGCUGAGGCAGUGCAGCCUAGCUGCCAGUGCUUAGUCACUUAAACUUACUUGCAUCUGAAAUCAAGCAGGAUCACCCGCUGAACUUAAGCAUAUCAAUAAGCGGAGGAGAAGAAAUAACUAAGAUUGCCCUAGUAACGGCGAGUGAAGCGGCAAAAGCCCAAAAUGGAAAUCUUACACCUUUGGUGUACGAAUUGUAAUCUAAAGAGUUUGUACUCACCGGGUGGUGGCGCAGAAGUGCUCUCGAAAGGGCCGCCAAAGAGGGUGAUAGCCCCGUAUGUGGUGCCGCUACCUAACGAGUGCUUGCUCCAAGAGUCGGGUUGUUUGUAUUGCAGCCCUAAGUGGGAGAUAAACUUCUUCUAAGGCUAAAUAUAUAUGGGAAACCGAUAGCGAACAAGUACUGUGAAGGAAAAGAUGAAAAGAACUUUGAAAAGAGAGUCAAAAGACUUGAAAUCGUUGAGAAGGAAGCGGUAGAAAUUUAUUCUUCGGCGGAGUUCGGUGGUAGUCGCCAAACCAUUGCUGGACGCCAGUACUGCAUAAGGCUGGUUUUAGCACCUGGGGAAGUGGCUGCCUUGAACUCCGUCGUGAGGCAAAAUGAGGUCGAACUUACACAUAGGCUUCUUACGCCUGGCCCGAUUCGUUGGGCAGCGUGGGUGUGCCGGUGUGGGAACGGCCUGAGGAUGCUUUGUGCGAUUUUGCCAAAAUGGUUUUUACCGACCCGUCUUGAAACACGGACCAAGGAGUCUAACAUAUAUGCGAGUGUGCUGGUGGAAAAACCAACACGCGUAAUGAAGGUGAUUGAUGCCAAGUCGCAAGAUGGCAGCAUCGACCGACCAUGAUCCUCUGGUGAAAGGUUUGAGUAUGAGCAUAUCUGUUAGGACCGAAAGAUGGUGAACUAUGCCUGAGUAGGGUGAAGCCAGGGGAAACUCUGGUGGAGGCUCGUAGCGGUACUGACGUGCAAAUCGUUCGUCAAACUUGGGUAUAGGGGCGAAAGACUAAUCGAACCAUCUAGUAGCUGGUUCCCUC
rnacentral:misc_RNA from 1 species